rnacentral:lncRNA from 1 species
UGGUUGAUUAGUGUUUAUGAAUCGUUGUUGGGUUUAAUCAUCAAUGUGAUUGAUGACUAAUCCAGUGCAAGUGUUGCCAUAAAAUAAUUCGCUAAGAUUUAGUGAAUUGUAGGAGAAUUAAUUUGUAAUUAGAUUGUAAUAGGAUUUAAUUUGAUUGAGCAAUGGGGUUAGAAUUAAAUUUAAUUGAAUUAGAUUCAAUUUUAUUUAAUUCGGAUUUGAUUGGAUCAAGCCCUAUUGAUUAUGAUAUAACCUUAUAUCCAAGAAAUCUAUUACUAGUUUGAUGGGG